rnacentral:rRNA from 1 species
AGGUUGGACCACACCGUCCUAAAGGCAACAGAUUAUGACUGAUCUUUGAGGUAAAGCUGGACCAGCUCUGGUUAGUACUUGGAUAGGAGACCACUGGCAAAUGCCAGUUGUCCAAGCUA